rnacentral:lncRNA from 1 species
UGUAGCCGCCUCGGCUAAUCCCCUAUGUUACUAACUCUAUAAUAUAUAUAUAUAUAUAUAUAUAUAUAUAUAUAUAUAUAUAUAUAUAUCCCAUAGCAAAAGAACAAUUUUUUUUCUGUGUAUGUAUGUGUCAAAAUGGUGUGACGGUGAAAUGAUGUAAUCUUGGUUUAUAAGAAACUCCUUAACACAUUAUUGUAUAUUAAACCAAAUAUUUUAUUAAUUAAUUUGUGAUUGAGUUAGAGGGAUGAUUGAAGUCAUCAAAUGGAGAUUAGUUUAGAGUAAAAGAUUGGAAUCCCUGAGCCCUAACCAUAAGGGAAGAGGGACCCAGCAAGAUUCUGCAGGGUAUGCACAAAUGAGAGAGUGGCAAUCAUUGAAUCAUUGUAGUAUUCAAAUGGCACCUCAAAUAUAAUGCAUAUAUGCUUUUGAUAAUACCAAAUGGGUUUAUUUUUUUCUUAUAUUUGAAUUGGGAAAUGAGUGAGUGGAAAAUAUAUAAUGACCAAAGGCUCCAAGAUUUUUGCAUAUUAUAUAAAGAAAAUUGGAGCAAUAGUUUUUAAAUUUUGCCCAAUUGGAAUUUUGGUUUUUGAA